UGCAAGUCGUACGCUUCUUUUUCCACCGGAGCUUGCUCCACCGGAAAAAGAGGAGUGGCGAACGGGUGAGUAACACGUGGGUAACCUGCCCAUCAGAAGGGGAUAACACUUGGAAACAGGUGCUAAUACCGUAUAACAAUCGAAACCGCAUGGUUUUGAUUUGAAAGGCGCUUUCGGGUGUCGCUGAUGGAUGGACCCGCGGUGCAUUAGCUAGUUGGUGAGGUAACGGCUCACCAAGGCCACGAUGCAUAGCCGACCUGAGAGGGUGAUCGGCCACAUUGGGACUGAGACACGGCCCAAACUCCUACGGGAGGCAGCAGUAGGGAAUCUUCGGCAAUGGACGAAAGUCUGACCGAGCAACGCCGCGUGAGUGAAGAAGGUUUUCGGAUCGUAAAACUCUGUUGUUAGAGAAGAACAAGGAUGAGAGUAACUGUUCAUCCCUUGACGGUAUCUAACCAGAAAGCCACGGCUAACUACGUGCCAGCAGCCGCGGUAAUACGUAGGUGGCAAGCGUUGUCCGGAUUUAUUGGGCGUAAAGCGAGCGCAGGCGGUUUCUUAAGUCUGAUGUGAAAGCCCCCGGCUCAACCGGGGAGGGUCAUUGGAAACUGGGAGACUUGAGUGCAGAAGAGGAGAGUGGAAUUCCAUGUGUAGCGGUGAAAUGCGUAGAUAUAUGGAGGAACACCAGUGGCGAAGGCGGCUCUCUGGUCUGUAACUGACGCUGAGGCUCGAAAGCGUGGGGAGCAAACAGGAUUAGAUACCCUGGUAGUCCACGCCGUAAACGAUGAGUGCUAAGUGUUGGAGGGUUUCCGCCCUUCAGUGCUGCAGCUAACGCAUUAAGCACUCCGCCUGGGGAGUACGACCGCAAGGUUGAAACUCAAAGGAAUUGACGGGGGCCCGCACAAGCGGUGGAGCAUGUGGUUUAAUUCGAAGCAACGCGAAGAACCUUACCAGGUCUUGACAUCCUUUGACCACUCUAGAGAUAGAGCUUCCCCUUCGGGGGCAAA
rnacentral:rRNA from 1 species